rnacentral:rRNA from 1 species
CCUACGGGCGGCUGCAGUGGGGAAUAUUGGACAAUGGGGGCAACCCUGAUCCAGCCAUGCCGCGUGUGUGAAGAAGGCCCUCGGGUUGUAAAGCACUUUCAGUGAGGAAGAACGCCUGGUGGUUAAUACCCAUCAGGAAAGACAUCACUCACAGAAGAAGCACCGGCUAACUCCGUGCCAGCAGCCGCGGUAAUACGGAGGGUGCGAGCGUUAAUCGGAAUUACUGGGCGUAAAGCGCGCGUAGGUGGCUUGAUAAGCCGGUUGUGAAAGCCCCGGGCUCAACCUGGGAACGGCAUCCGGAACUGUCAAGCUAGAGUGCAGGAGAGGAAGGUAGAAUUCCCGGUGUAGCGGUGAAAUGCGUAGAGAUCGGGAGGAAUACCAGUGGCGAAGGCGGCCUUCUGGACUGACACUGCCACUGAGGUGCGAAAGCGUGGGUAGCAAACAGGAUUAGAUACCCCUGUAGUC